rnacentral:rRNA from 1 species
AUCAACUUUCGAUGGUAGGAUAGAGGCCUACCAUGGUGGUAACGGGUAACGGGGUGUUAGGGCACGACACCGGAGAGGGAGCCUGAGAAACGGCUACCACAUCCAAGGAUGGCAGCAGGCGCGCAAAUUACCCAAUCCCGACACGGGGAGGUAGUGACAAUAAAUAACAAUACGGGGUUCUUUCGGAUCUCGUAAUUGGAAUGAGUACAAUUUAAAUCUCUUAACGAGGAACAAUUGGAGGGCAAGUCUGGUGCCAGCAGCCGCGGUAAUUCCAGCUCCAAUAGCGUAUAUUAAAGUUGUUGCAGUUAAAAAGCUCGUAGUUGAAUUUCGGGGUUAGUAGGUUGGUCAUGCCUCUGGUAUGUACUGGUCUCACUGAUUCCUCCUUCCUGAUGAACCGUAAUGCCAUUAAUUUGGUGUUGCGGGGAAUUUGGACUGUUACUUUGAAAAAAUUAGAGUGUUUAAAGCAAGCUAACGCUUGAAUACAUUAGCAUGGAAUAAUGAAAUAGGACGUUCGAUCCUAUUUUGUUGGUUUCUAGGAUUGACGUAAUGAUUAAUAGGGAUAGUUGGGGGCAUUAGUAUUCAAUUGUCAGAGAUGAAAUUCUUGGAUUUAUUGAAGACUAACUAUUGCGAAAGCAUUUGCCAAGGAUGUUUUCAUUAAUCAAGAACGAAAGUUAGGGGAUCGAAGACGAUCAGAUACCGUCGUAGUCUUAACCAUAAACCAUGCCGACUAGGGACCGGAUGAUGUUAAUUUUUUAAUGACUCAUUCGGCGCCUUACGGGAAACCAAAGUGUUUGGGUUC